rnacentral:rRNA from 1 species
AUUGAACGCUGGCGGCAUGCUUUACACAUGCAAGUCGAACGGCAGCGCGGGCUUCGGCCUGGCGGCGAGUGGCGAACGGGUGAGUAAUGCAUCGGAACGUGCCCAGUAUUGGGGGAUAGCCCGGCGAAAGCCGGAUUAAUACCGCAUACGACCUGAGGGUGAAAGCGGGGGACCGAAAGGCCUCGCGCUAUUGGAGCGGCCGAUGUCGGAUUAGCUAGUUGGUGGGGUAAAGGCUUACCAAGGCGACGAUCCGUAGCUGGUCUGAGAGGACGACCAGCCACACUGGAACUGAGACACGGCCCAGACUCCUACGGGAGGCAGCAGUGGGGAAUUUUGGACAAUGGGGGCAACCCUGAUCCAGCCAUGCCGCGUGCGGGAAGAAGGCCUUCGGGUUGUAAACCGCUUUUGUUCGGGAAGAAAUCCUCUGGGCUAAUACCCCGAGGGGAUGACGGUACCGAAAGAAUAAGCACCGGCUAACUACGUG